GCCUUCGUGGUGUAGUGGUUAGCACGCUCGACGUGUCUUCGAGAGGUGCGUGGUUCGAGUCCCGGCGAGGGCA
rnacentral:tRNA from 1 species